rnacentral:rRNA from 1 species
AGCGAACGCUGGCGGCAGGCCUAACACAUGCAAGUCGAACGGAUCCUUCGGGAUUAGUGGCGGACGGGUGAGUAACACGUGGGAACGUGCCCUUUGGUUCGGAACAACUCAGGGAAACUUGAGCUAAUACCGGAUGUGCCCUUCGGGGGAAAGAUUUAUCGCCAUUGGAGCGGCCCGCGUCUGAUUAGCUAGUUGGUGAGGUAACGGCCCACCAAGGCGACGAUCAGUAGCUGGUCUGAGAGGAUGAUCAGCCACACUGGGACUGAGACACGGCCCAGACUCCUACGGGAGGCAGCAGUGGGGAAUCUUGCGCAAUGGGCGAAAGCCUGACGCAGCCAUGCCGCGUGAGUGAUGAAGGUCUUAGGAUUGUAAAAUUCUUUCAGCGGGGACGAUAAUGACGGUACCCGCAGAAGAAGCUCCGGCUAACUUCGUG